CAAUGGGGGGAACCCUGACCGAGCAACGCCGCGUGAGUGAGGAAGGUUUUCGGAUCGUAAAGCUCUGUUGUUAAGGAAGAACGAGUGUGAGAAUGGAAAGUUCAUACUGUGACGGUACUUAACCAGAAAGGGACGGCUAACUACGUGCCAGCAGCCGCGGUAAUACGUAGGUCCCGAGCGUUGUCCGGAUUUAUUGGGCGUAAAGCGAGCGCAGGCGGUUAGAAAAGUCUGAAGUGAAAGGCAGUGGCUCAACCAUUGUAGGCUUUGGAAACUGUUUAACUUGAGUGCAGAAGGGGAGAGUGGAAUUCCAUGUGUAGCGGUGAAAUGCGUAGAUAUAUGGAGGAACACCGGUGGCGAAAGCGGCUCUCUGGUCUGUAACUGACGCUGAGGCUCGAAAGCGUGGGGAGCGAACAGGAUUAGAUACCCUGGUAGUCCACGCCGUAAACGAUGAGUGCUAGGUGUUAGGUCCUUUCCGGGACUUAGUGCCGCAGCUAACGCAUUAAGCACUCCGCCUGGGGAGUACGACCGCAAGGUUGAAACUCAAAGGAAUUGACGGGGGCCCGCACAUGCGGUGGAGCAUGUGGUUUAAUUCGAAGCAACGCGAAGAACCUUACCAGGUCUUGACAU
rnacentral:rRNA from 1 species